CAAGAAUAAAAAACAAUGAGAAAAAACAACCGAAUCAGUGUUGGUUUCGAUAACUAUCGACUUGAAACCGAUUGGAAACGUGUGGGACAGGAACAUCAAAGGCGAGAUGGCGGAGCGAAUGGAAAAUUUUGGCACUGCUAAAACUAUAGGACCAUCACGAGAAUUGGUGGUAGAUGGCAAAUGUUGCUCAGUGUGAAUUUGGUAUAAUGUUAAAGCAAGAGUCAGACGAGGAUUUUUUUUGCUAAAAAGCCGUCGGUGUCGUGUGAACACAAUAUUUUAAAGCGUCGGUUAAGAAACCCUUAAAGUCGCCGGUUUUCCUGGUGGUUGGAAAGGAGUCCGUACAAAAGUAAACUUGUCGAUCAUGGACAACUGAAUUUUCGUGGAAUAUAUGGAAGUCCCGUUAGAGUUUAAUCCAAAUGUGCUUGAGCGCAGCAACAGUACCAUCACCAGAUGACCCGAGGCCAGAGUACAGAGAUUCCUCCAGUUAAUCGCACUAAUCAGAGCUGAUGUGAAGUAGUGUGGCAGCGAGUGUCAGUAGACAAGCAGAAGACCAAAUCACGCGAAGAGCAGCACAAAUCGCAGGAGGGACUUUUUAAAAUAGAUUACCUUAACUAUAAAUUAGCUACAAUUUAUCGUAAUAAAUAACUGCAUUUUU